GUAGCCCAGGGGUAGAGCACUUGCCUUGCAUGCACGAGGCCCUGGGUUUAAACCCCAGC
rnacentral:tRNA from 1 species